CUCAGGGUGUUUCUAGAAAAGAAAAUUAAACAUAGGAUGCUAGCAAAUGGCAAUGAUAGAUUCAAAUGAUAGUUUUGUGAGAAUGAGGGAGAAGACAUCAAAGUGUUGUAGGAAAGGAUUUAUAGCAGGGCUUAGCAAUGCAGGCUGGAAGCCUGGGAAGGUGCAAGUUCAAAAUUCCAUAGACCUUGGCUGAGUUAGGAUUCUAAGGCAGUUGGAAAAUCUCUUUUCUCUCAAGCUAGUCAGACUAGUCAAGCUAGACAGUGUUCUCCCUGAAGAACCAAUUGAGGAGCUGCCAAGGACUUUGGAUUAUCAAUUAUCAAUAAGGUUGAGUGAGUGUUUCCCUUCACAUUGGUGGAAAUUGUGAAUGGAUAAGAUACUGGGAGAUAAUAAUAUGGUUGUGAGAAAAGAAGUCAUGUUGGAUUGCCUCACAUUUUUGAUGAACUAUGAAGAGAGGACUUCAGUUAAAUGAGUGGAAAGACAGAUGCUGUCAAAGAUUUCAAGAAAGCAUAGAAGGUUUGGAACAGUCAGUAUGGGAUUCUUUUGCUGAAGGAACUAUUAGGAGAUACAAAUUUUCCCUCAAGAGCUACUUAAUGGCAGCCUGUAUAUGUUGAUAUGUUUUCUUAUUCUUAUUUAUUUUCUAUGAAAUUGUCUUUUCUUUCUGUACUUAUUUUUUGACCACCCAAUUGCCUACUCUAAAAAAUUUUGAAUUUUUCUUCAAAGACCUAUUUUUGGUCUUAAUUUUUAUUAAACUUUAAAAGUUUUUUUCAAUAUUUCUGAUUUUCUGCAUUUCUGAAAAUAAAUUUGUCCUCUGAUGCA
rnacentral:lncRNA from 1 species